GACGAACGCUGGCGGCGUGCCUAAUACAUGCAAGUCGAGCGGACAGACGAGGAUCUUGCUCCGCUCACGUUAGCGGCGGGCGGGUGUGUAACACGUGUAUAACCUACCUAUAAGUCUGGUAACAUUUCGGGAAACCGGCUCUAAUACCGUAUAAUAUCCUGAUCCGCAUUGUGCAAUAGUGAAAGACGGUGUUGCUGGCACGUAUAGAUGCUUCCGCGCCGCUUUAGCUAGUAGGGAAGGUAACGGCUUACCAAGGCAACUAUGCGUAGCCGAACUGAGAGAGUGAUCGGCCACAUGGGAGCUGGAACACGGUCAAGACGACUACGGGAGGCAGCAGUAGGGAAUCGGCCGCAAUGGUCGAGAGCUUGACGGAGCAACGCCGCGUGAGAGACGAAGGUCUUCGGAUCGUAAAACUCUGUUAUUAGUGAAGAACAAAUGUGUAAGUAACUAUGCACGUCGUGACGGUACCUAAUCAGAAAGCCACGGCUAACUACGUG
rnacentral:rRNA from 1 species